UAUCUCACUGGUUUAACAUUUUGUGGUGAUCAAGAAUGUGCUGAUAAAUGGUUGUUUGUCUUGUGAGCCAUCACAUGCUCAUUUGCUCUCACCUGUGUUUCAGGUUUUAUAUGUUGAUGGUGAUCAGGAGAUUUUGAAUCUGAAAAAAGAACGUUGGUUUCUGCUUGAUGACCAAGAGAAAAAGGGCAGCCUUACAAGUUCUGAUGCUGCUGCUGUUCGAUCCCGAACUCGAGGCCGAAAACGUGGUAGGAAGUCAGCAGCAAGAUCUGCUCUGGAUAUUCUUCACAUCAAAACCGAAAUCGAUGUUUUGGCAAAGGAUGAUGAAGAAUCAAAGGAUGAGGAGGAGAAUCUCAGAAGUGAAACUCUCACGGAUGCAAGUAAAUCUAGCAACUAGAAGCUUAGCUGCACAAUCUAAAAAAGCAUCUCAGCAAUAACUCAACUGAUAUGCAUGGCAAAUCGCUAUUAUCGCAUCUUGAGAGUGGCAGAUUAAACUGCUCAAAACAAUAUAUGAGAAUAUCAUAAAGCUAACAUCAUGGC